UACAGAGGUCUCAAGCGUUGUUCGGAUUCACUGGGCGUAAAGGGUGCGUAGGUGGCGAGGUAAGUCGGAUGUGAAAGCUCGGAGCUCAACUCCGAAAUGGCAUUGGAAACUACCUUGCUCGAGGGUUGGAGGGGGGACUGGAAUUCUCGGUGUAGCAGUGAAAUGCGUAGAUAUCGAGAGGAACACCAGUGGCGAAGGCGAGUCUCUGGACGACUCCUGACACUGAGGCACGGAAAGCUAGGGGAGCAAACAGG
rnacentral:rRNA from 1 species